CUGUUCGAGCGUCAUUUCAACCCUCAAGCACUGCUUGGUAUUGGAUGCCACCGGAUGCGGUGCAUCUCAAAAGCAUUGGCAGUGGCGUCCAGCUUCUAGUGUAGUAAUUUUCUCGCUUUGGAGUUUGGAUGUCUGCUGGCCAGAACCCUAAUCUAUCAAUGGUUGACCUCGGAUCAGGUAGGGAUACCCGCUGAACUUAA
rnacentral:misc_RNA from 1 species